AUAUUAUUAAGCGGAGGAAAAGAAACUAACAAGGAUGCCCUCAGUAACGGCGAGUGAAGCGGGCAAAGCUCAACCUGAAAAUCGGUUAUCCAAGCGGGUGAUCGAAUUGUGGGCUAGAGACGCGUGAUCAGUGUGUGACCCAGAUAUAAAUCUUUUGAAACAAGGUAUCAUAGAGGGUGAGAAUCCCGUCUGUGAUCUGGAGUUCGCCGCGUACGAUCCGUGUUCGUAGAGUCGAGUUGUUUGGGAUUGCAGCUCUAAAUGGGUGGUAAAUUUCAUCUAAAGCUAAAUAUCGACGAGAGACCGAUAGCGAACAAGUACCGUGAGGGAAAGAUGAAAAGAACUUUGAAAAGAGAGUUAAAAAGUACUUGAAAUUGCUAAGAGGGAAGCACUGGAAACCAGUCGCUGAUCGCCGUGUACCUUAUCUAUCGCUCCUUGAUGCGAUUACUUCCCAGAGCCCAAAGCCUCGGGUGGUGGUCGUUGAGAGUGCGGUGGUGCACUGUACUGGCGUAUCGUAUCAGAAUCAAUUUGAUUCGUGAGAGAAAGCUAUGGCAACGGUAGGUCCAAGGGGGCAACUCUGAGGACUGUUUAGUGCUGUAGUGCUAUCAUGGAUUAGAUUGA
rnacentral:rRNA from 1 species